UUUAAUAAAUACACCCUCCAACACUAUUCACUUCAGGUAGCUCGAAAUCUGAUAUCUUUUGCCGGAGUUCCCUGAAUAUCCGUUUGUGCUCAAAUUUGACAGUCUUGUUCAGUUUUACUUAUCGAGUCCAAAGAAAUUUUAAUAUUUCAGUUUCAACCCUGUUUGGUCACCGAAAGCUGUACCGAACUGUAAUCUUUAUCAGAUAACUGUCGGAUUUUAUUUUCCAUCUUCCGGGUGUUAGAAUGAUAUGAAACUUUAAAUCUAGCCUCAUAAAAAUAAUUCUGACUUAUCCUCCAGUUUUUAUAAUUUUCUGACACUGUGCAUUUUCUGCUAAUUUAUCUGUCCCGUUUCUAACAGAAAAUUCUAAAUCUUCUGUUUUCGUUCCGAUUUUAGCAUAAGUCAUUUUUGACUUAUAUUUUAUUUCUCUANAUCUCACACUAUUUUUUAUUUAUUUUUAUUUUUAUACCAAAAUCUGGCAUGUUAUACCUUCCCUGCCCGCCCAAGGCUCUAGCAACAAGUAUAAUUAAGUAAUCAAUCAA
rnacentral:lncRNA from 1 species